rnacentral:lncRNA from 1 species
CCCAAGCAAAGAAAAUACCAAAGCCAAAUCAGAGUUUAUAUCUCUUCGUUUAGAAAGUGCAGAGGAGGAUUCCUGCUGCUUUCCAGUAGUGCUGCAUCCCAAGGUGGCUUAAAGGAAGAGGUUCAUCAAGGAGGGGAAGCAACUAAGGUGAGACAAGAGGAAAAAGACUUCAUCACCCAGUGCAAAUCUGUUCAGUCAACUCCAGCCAACAUGCCUACCUCAUUGUAAGAGAAAAUGGGGGGAGAAAUAUGGUGAAUAGAUUCUGGAUUAUGUGUUGUGAUACUAUAACAUCAGCAUGAUAUUUCAAGUAGCUUCUGAUUAGCAUAAAUAUAAGGUUAUCACAGAAAACUGCUGCUGUAAAUCUUCACAAUUUAACAUUGUAAUGUUCUUCCUGUUGCCUC